rnacentral:rRNA from 1 species
GACGGGGGGGGCAAGUGUUCUUCGGAAUGACUGGGCGUAAAGGGCACGAAGGCGGUGAAUCGGGUUGAAAGUGAAAGUCGCCAAAAAGUGGCGGAAUGCUCUCGAAACCAAUUCACUUGAGUGAGACAGAGGAGAGUGGAAUUUCGUGUGUAGGGGUGAAAUCCGUAAAUAUACGAAGGAACGCCAAAAGCGAAGGCAGCUCUCUGGGUCCCUACCGACGCUGGGGUGCGAAAGCAUGGGGAGCGAACAGG